rnacentral:rRNA from 1 species
AUUGAACGCUGGCGGCAUGCUUUACACAUGCAAGUCGAACGGCAGCGCGGGCUUCGGCCUGGCGGCGAGUGGCCAACGGGUGAGUAAUUCAUCGGAACGUGCCCAGUAGUGGGGGAUAGCCCGGCGAAAGCCGGAUUAAUACCGCACACGACCUGAGGGUGAAAGCGGGGGACCGAAAGUCCUCGCUCCAUUUGCACGGCCGAUGUCGGAUUAGCUAGUUGGUGGGGUAAAGGCUUACCAAGGCGACGAUCCGUAGCUGGUCUGAGAGGACGACCAGCCACACUGGGAUUGAGACACGGCCCAGACUCCUACGGGAGGCAGCAGUGGGGAAUUUUGGACAAGGGGGGAAGCCCUGAUCCAGACAUGCCGCGUGCGGGAAGAAGGCCUUCGGGUUGUAAACCGCUUUUGUUCGGGAAGAAAUCCUCUGGGCUAAUACCCCGGGGGGAUGACGGUACCGGAAGAGUAAGCACCGGCUAACUACGUG